GUGGUAGAGUUGUAGAUAAAUUUCGUUCUUCAAUGCUUCCAGAAACAAUUGAAGCUCUGAUAUGCACACAAGAUUGGAUAAGAAGUGCGCUAAAGAAUGAGGGAUUUGGGUUAGGUAGUACUUCACUUCAGACUCUUUUGGAGGCAAUGGAGGAGCUCGAAUCAGACGAUGAUGAUGCAACAUCGCACAUUGUCUAACUGACUGACUAUCAAUUUAAGGAACAAUUGGAAAUAUGAUGGUGAAAUCUUUAGUGAACUGGUUGGAACUUCUUUUUGGUAUAUAUAUAUUAUAUAGGCAUAGCCAAAGAACAUGCGAAGUGCGAACUACAUCCUUCUUUUUUGUAUAUGUACUUGUGAAGGAAACACAUUUAUCUUU